UUACGGCCACAUCACGUUAAAAUACCUCUUCCCGUACGAUCAGCGAAGUUAAGCAGCGUGAAGCCUGAUCAAUACUUAGAUGGGCGACCGUUUGAGAAUAACAGGUGCUGUUA